GCCCCUUUAGCUCAAUUGGCAGAGCAGCUGACUCUUAAUCAGCGGGUUGAUGGUUCGAGUCCAUCAGGGGGCA
rnacentral:tRNA from 2 species